rnacentral:rRNA from 1 species
UACAGAGGGUGCAAGCGUUACUCGGAAUUACUGGGCGUAAAGCGUGCGUAGACGGUUAUGUAAGUCGGGUGUGAAAGCCCCGGGCUCAACCUGGGAAUGCCAUUCGAGACUGCAUAGCUAGGGUGCGGAAGAGGGAAGCGGAAUUUCCGGUGUAGCGGUGAAAUGCGUAGAUAUCGGAAGGAACACCAGUGGCGAAAGCGCCUUCCUGGUCCAGCACCGACGUUCAGGCACGAAAGCGUGGGGAGCAAACAGG